AUUGAACGCUGGCGGCAGGCCUAACACAUGCAAGUCGAAUGGUAACAGGAAACAGCUUGCUGUUUCGCUGACGAGUGGCGGACGGGUGAGUAAUGUCUGGGAAACUGCCUGAUGGAGGGGGAUAACUACUGGAAACGGUAGCUAAUACCGCAUAACGUCGCAAGACCAAAGAGGGGGACCUUCGGGCCUCUUGCCAUCAGAUGUGCCCAGAUGGGAUUAGCCAGUAGGUGGGGUAACGGCUCACCUAGGCGACGAUCCCUAGCUGGUCUGAGAGGAUGACCAGCCACACUGGAACUGAGACACGGUCCAGACUCCUACGGGAGGCAGCAGUGGGGAAUAUUGCACAAUGGGCGCAAGCCUGAUGCAGCCAUGCCGCGUGUAUGAAGAAGGCCUUCGGGUUGUAAAGUACUUUCAGCGGGGAGGAAGGGAGUAAAGUUAAUACCUUUGCUCAUUGACGUUACCCGCAGAAGAAGCACCGGCUAACUCCGUG
rnacentral:rRNA from 1 species